AUUGAAUAAUAAGUUAUAGGUUUUUUUAUAGAAAAAUUAAAAGGGAAUGUGGUUAAAAGCCACAACAGCCCCCGCUACUGUAAUAGCAGACAAAUCGGAUAAACCACUGACGAUAAGUUGGGAAGGAAAGAAGAGGAUGAAGCUAAAGUCAGGAGACCUGCCUAUAACUUCGCAGCAGU
rnacentral:ncRNA from 2 species